AUAAUCUUGUGUUUUUAUCUCCAGUGGUUGGCAGGUGUGACGCAUGGCCACACCUCACAUGGUGCACAGUCAUGCAUUUUCUUUGGCUUCCGUGCUCUCUCCUACUUGCUGAAGAUCAGCUCCCCCAAAUAAAGCUGUUGGCUGUCUUUCUUGUCAUCCAUUCUUUCGGACACCUCAGGGGACCCAGCUGCACAGAUUAAGAGGCCACCAUGGCUACACACACACACACACACACACACACACACACACACACCCCUCCUGGAUUGACAUUCUGCUAAAAGUUGAUGAAAAUCUGGUGAUAGCAUGUAGCUCUUUAGGCAGUAAAAACCAUAUUUAAGACUUUACUGGCUUUGACUAGACUAUGGGUGGCCUCGCUCUUCACAUCUGCUGUCAGCCUGUGUUCGGCCGUCAUUCACACAUACAUACCCUAGAAAUUCCAGUCAUCAAACAGCAACGCCUGAAGUACCUCUUCCAGGAAGACUCAGUCCUCUAGUCUCCGGGUUUGGAAGUAUCCCAAACAUCUUUAGGAAAAUUCUUUCAUCUACUUCUCCGUCCCCUUUUGGGUAUAUAAAAAGUUAGCAUACUGCACAAUACGUGAAACGGCUCUCUCAACUAUCCUACCUUCUGCAGUUCUCCUUCUGUGUCCAUAACCACAGUUUAUACAUGGGUUUUAUUAUGCAGUUAGGCUCAGCGCCAUUUGUGAUGAUAAAGAGUUGAGGCUUGUCCCCUCUCACGUGGACACGCUCCGGCUUACCUUCAUCGUGUGAGUGAAUGUCUCAGGUUGGCCCAGUGGGUCCAGGUCAGAGGGCAUGUGCUUAGCUGUGGAAUUCCAGAGGUCACUCCCUGCCUUUGUCUCCUCCACCAAAGCUCAUGUCACUUGCAUCAUGCUUUGACUUGAAACAAUAUUGCAUCGGAGGGAGUGUGCAUAAUGGGCUGUGUUGUCCAAUUAUCAUGAGAUUACCGAAUACUUUUGCCUGGAAACUUGCCAGCAAGAGUGAACAAAGAGAUGCCCCAAGCCACUUUCUCAGCUUUAUUCCUCAAGACUAAAUGGCAUUCCCAGUACCCUCUGUACCUUUCUGAUUGAGUAAAUGGAUAAGUCAGGCUUUUACUUAUUUUUUUAUUUUUGGACAAAGAAUGUGGCUAGGACCGGACAUCAAGAUUUUUUUAAGCUACUUUGAUGAGAAUGAGUAAAAAGCCAAAAGGUGGAACAGAGAAUACACCAGCUGGAAAUGGAGAUGAUGGAUUUCUAGGAAGUGGGAGAUUGAGAUAUUUACAGUAAUGAACAAAAGUUCUUCCUGGAAUAAAAGUACUGAAGAAGUAACAAAAAGAAGCCAGAAAAAAAAAAAAAAAAAAAAAGAAGAAGAAGAAGAAAAAAAAAAAGGCAUUUUCUUAGCGCACAAAUGCUGAAGCCCAUGCUCUUUGUUACUGGAAAUUCUGACGUUUCUUGCAUUCUCCCAACUUUCUUGAUUUUUAAAAUCUUAACAUUUAUUUCCCCAAUCAUCUUUAUUCAUCUUUGUGUUUUCAUUCUCCUCGAGUUAUCUGUGUCCUCAGAAAGUUGAAAAACAAGUGAUUUUUUUUUUUUUCUUCUCAUCUCUCUUGGCGGAGUCACACAAUGGGCUGCCUUUCCCCUUCUCUGUGGAAAGAAUGGAAACAGAGUAAGCAGCCAGCGGAGCUCCAUACGGAUUGACAUUCCUUGCUUCUGCUUUUGAAGUUAAGAUGGUCACGAGAGAGAAAAAUAUUUUCGGUUCCAAGCCUAAGAAAAGGACAUUCCUUUCCGUCUUGGCACUCUUGUUUUCAUGGUGUUGAUUUCUCUGAGAAUCAUCUUCAGUCUCAUUAAUAUAUCACAUCUGAAAAUGAAAUCCCUUGUGUAAGUUCUUUUCCUCGCCACGCCCUUGAUUAUAGGGAAGGUGAUGUUUUCGUACACAAAUCUGAAGUGGCUUAGGAUGUAUUUUCAUGGCUUUUUUUUUUUUUUUGCCCUGGAUGAGUUCCCAUUGUUGAUCAAGCACUUCAGGAGAGUUUUCCAGAGCCCUGACAGACUCACCCAUGCAUU
rnacentral:lncRNA from 1 species